rnacentral:rRNA from 2 species
GAUUUCUGGUUCGGCGCACUUGGCCCGUCUCGGUUUACGGGAUUGCGUGCCGGUGUGCGCCAUCCAUCCUUCGGGAAAUACACAGCUACCCUUCACUGGGCCGGUUGUGCUAUCCCGAUCUUUUACUUUGAAAAAAUUAGAGUGUUUCAAGCAGGCUUUAUGCUAUGAAUACAUUAGCAUGGAAUAAUAAUUUAGGACUUCGGUUCUAUUUUGUUGGUUUCUAGGACUGAAGUAAUGAUUGAUAGGGAUAGUUGGGGGUGCUAGUAUUCAGCGGCCAGAGGUGAAAUUCUCGGAUUCGCUGAAGACUAACUUAUGCGAAAGCAUU